ensembl:lncRNA
AGCAAAAGUCAUGGGACCUGUGUCAUCUCCAGGCAAAAGCUUUAAGAACCAGCACAUGGUUUGCUGUGUGCCUUUUGCCACUUCUGCAAGGUGGACAAUGGUCCAGAAAGAGGCUGCUUCGGCAGUCGGGAUUCCAAAGGAGAUGAACAAGCUGGGACAUAGUCAACCUGUGAGGGACACGAAGCUGGAGCAAGAAAGAAGUUUUUGUGGCAGAUAUAAACCUGGGGUAUCUUCACCACCACAUGAACGGGACUACCAGAGAAUGAAGUCAACAUGGAGCACUUCAACAGCUACCCCUUGCUGUCUUCUUCUAUUGCAAGGUUGUGAAUGUGGGGCUUCCAGGGGCCGUGUUCACAGCCCCAUGGGAAAGGCCUGCAGAAAGAACAAAGUCAAACAGAGACAAGUAGAGAUUUUGCAUGUAAGGAAAUAGUGGAGCAGAGACUAAUGGGUCAAAAUUGCACAGCAAACCAGCUGGGAGACACGUGGAUCCUCCAGCCUUCCAGGUGUUUCCCCACCUGAACCACAGGAACUCAGGACGCCGCGUGAUCUUUCCCGGGAGACCCCAGCUGGAGUCCCAUGACUUCCCUGGGCUCAGGAUUUUGUGUCACUUUUGACUCCAGGGCCCUCUGGACUGCAGUGCUGAUGAGCUACUCUGGUGUGAGUUCUGCAGCUACUCCAGUUUCAAGCACAAUUUGGAAAGUCAGCGUGAAGCCAGGGACGGCCAGAAUCUGAUCAAAGGAAGGAGAAGCAUCAUCGAGUAGAGGAACGUAAGGCCAGCCUAUUGCCAUCCUUGACGCAUGAAAAUGUAAAGUAUAUCCAUUUCAGCCAGCAGCCCAAGCUCUAGUCACCUGUUCUUCUCAAUAGUUCUAUCCCCUAGAGAUUAUCUUGUGUUCCAAGGAUUCUCUUACUUUUAAUGUGCUUUAUACCUUUAGCUGCAAAUGUCGCUCCAAAGGUGGGGUAGGAUUAAAUGAUCGCUCAAGGUUUUCAAAGGGACUCCAGGAAUUCUCGACUCCCAAAGCGGCCGACACCUGAUCUUCCAAAGGCCUCUGCCCAGGCGCUGGCUUUGAGGACCGAAAGGGCAUCUCCCGUGUGCCCACCGUUUUGCAGAUCAGGAGAUAUUUACAAACUGGAAUGCAGAGCCCCAAUCUCAAGUCCCGUGAGAUACACAAGUGCAAACGGCCAGUGAGCGACCAAGUGAAGACCAGAUGGGGAGACUCUCGACUCUUAUCUUGUGUUCACCCAUCUCACUGCACGGCCCUCCUCCAGAGGACAGAGCUUCAGUGGCAACCUCCCAGAGGAACAUCUUAAGCCAAAAAUAUCGCAUCUUUGUUCUUGAGAAAAAAUACACAUUCUGGUCAGCAGAGUGAAGAAAACUCUGUCUUGGGGGUGGCUAUAGGAAGCUGAGCAUCAAGAAAGAAGCAGAAACUUGGAAAGUCUUAAGAUUUGGAGGCCUAAGAACCCAGGACAGCAGGGAUGUGAGUGAGACUGGAAUCAGGAUCAGUACGUGGAAAAGCUAGACCUCCCAAAUCUUUGCAGCCGGAGGACCUCCCUAUCCUGGACCUCCAAGAUCUAUACAGCCAGAGGACUGUCCCUCCCUACCCUGGACCUCGCAGAUCUAUGCACCCAGAGCACCAUCCCUCCAUACCCUGGACCUCGCAGAUCUAUGCGGCCAGAGCACCAUCCCUCCAUACCCUGGGUCUCCCAGAUCUAUGCAGCCAGAGCACCAUCCCUCCAUACCCUGGA